UUGCACCUUUCAAGUGAGUGGCGAACGGGUGAGUAACACGUGGACAACCUGCCUCAAGGCUGGGGAUAACAUUUGGAAACAGAUGCUAAUACCGAAUAAAACUUAGUGUCGCAUGACAAAAAGUUAAAAGGCGCUUCGGCGUCACCUAGAGAUGGAUCCGCGGUGCAUUAGUUAGUUGGUGGGGUAAAGGCCUACCAAGACAAUGAUGCAUAGCCGAGUUGAGAGACUGAUCGGCCACAUUGGGACUGAGACACGGCCCAAACUCCUACGGGAGGCUGCAGUAGGGAAUCUUCCACAAUGGGCGAAAGCCUGAUGGAGCAACGCCGCGUGUGUGAUGAAGGCUUUCGGGUCGUAAAGCACUGUUGUAUGGGAAGAACAGCUAGAAUAGGAAAUGAUUUUAGUUUGACGGUACCAUACCAGAAAGGGACGGCUAAAUACGUGCCAGCAGCCGCGGUAAUACGUAUGUCCCGAGCGUUAUCCGGAUUUAUUGGGCGUAAAGCGAGCGCAGACGGUUUAUUAAGUCUGAUGUGAAAGCCCGGAGCUCAACUCCGGAAUGGCAUUGGAAACUGGUUAACUUGAGUGCAGUAGAGGUAAGUGGAACUCCAUGUGUAGCGGUGGAAUGCGUAGAUAUAUGGAAGAACACCAGUGGCGAAGGCGGCUUACUGGACUGCAACUGACGUUGAGGCUCGAAAGUGUGGGUAGCAAACAGGAUUAGAUACCCUGGUAGUCCACACCGUAAACGAUGAACACUAGGUGUUAGGAGGUUUCCGCCUCUUAGUGCCGAAGCUAACGCAUUAAGUGUUCCGCCUGGGGAGUACGACCGCAAGGUUGAAACUCAAAGGAAUUGACAG
rnacentral:rRNA from 1 species